UACAGAGGUGGCAAGCGUUGUUCGGAUUCAUUGGGCGUAAAGGGUGCGUAGGCGGCGCGGUAAGUCGGGUGUGAAAUCUCGGGGCUUAACUCCGAAACUGCAUUCGAUACUGCCGUGCUUGAGGACUGGAGAGGAGACUGGAAUUUACGGUGUAGCGGUGAAAUGCGUAGAUAUCGUAAGGAAGACCAGUGGCGAAGGCGGGUCUCUGGACAGUUCCUGACGCUGAGGCACGAAGGCCAGGGGAGCAAACGGG
rnacentral:rRNA from 1 species